rnacentral:misc_RNA from 1 species
CCAGAAUUUGACGUUUAACGUUGGAAAAAAAAGAAAAUUUAUUUUCAAGUCCCUCAAAUUCUGGGUAAGAAUAAACAUCAUGAUGAUGACCUGUGUUAAGAUAGAAAGAAUAUAAAUAAGUUUCCUUUCAUAUGAUAUAUUCAAUCCCCACUCAGGAACAAAACAGAACAGUCAAGUAAACAGAUCCUCUGGGAACUUUUUUCUCACGACAAAUCAACAGUCAAAGAAAAUCAUGGGGGAAAAAUAUUCUCCUUUCCAAUUGAGGAAAACCAAAU